rnacentral:rRNA from 1 species
UACGUAGGGUGCAAGCGUUGUCCGGAAUUAUUGGGCGUAAAGAGCUCGUAGGCGGUCUGUCGCGUCGGCUGUGAAAUCCCGGAGCUCAACUCCGGGUCUGCAGUCGAUACGGGCAAACUGGAGUACUGCAGGGGAGACUGGAAUUCCUGGUGUAGCGGUGAAAUGCGUAGAUAUCAGGAGGAACACCGGUGGCGAAGGCGGGUCUCUGGGCAGUAACUGACGCUGAGGAGCGAAAGCGUGGGGAGCGAACAGG